AAGUCGUAACAAGGUAUCCGUAGGUGAACCUGCGGAUGGAUCAUUAUCACGUAUCCACGUAUCAACCAUUGUGAACUGUACCUACCUUUGAAAGGAGUAUGAGUGAUAAGAGUUUUUUUGUGUAACAACGAGAAAGCUUUUCCUUUCAGAGUGUAUUUUAUCACUUUAAUUAACAAUUUUAACUAAUUAUUAUACUUUUUGUCUGAUAUUAUUUCUUACUCUCUCGGGAGAAGAAAUUCAUUACGAAACAAAGAACAACUCUUAGCAACGGAUAUCUUGGUUCUC
rnacentral:misc_RNA from 1 species